rnacentral:rRNA from 1 species
GACGAACGCUGGCGGCGUGCUUAACACAUGCAAGUCGAACGGAAAGGCCCUGCUUUUGUGGGGUGCUCGAGUGGCGAACGUGGGAGUAACACGUGAGUAACCUGCCCUUUACUUUGGGAUAUCUUCAGUAAACUGGGGCUACUGCCGGUUAGUAGCGCCUGCUGCAUGGGGGGGGUUGGAAGGUUUCGGCGGUUGGGGAUGGACUCGCGGCUUAUCAGCUUGUUGGUGGGGUAGUGGCUUACCAAGGCUUUGACGGGUAGCCGGCCUGAGAGGGUGACCGGACACAUUGGGACUGAGAUAAGGCCCAGAAUCCUACGGGAGGCAGCAGUGGGGAAUAUUGCACAAUGGGCGGAAGCCUGAUGCAGCAACGCCGCGUGCGGGAUGACGGCCUUCGGGUUGUAAACCGCUUUCGCCUGUGACGAAGCGUGAGUGACGGUAAUGGGUAAAGAAGCACCGGCUAACUACGUG